rnacentral:rRNA from 1 species
GAAUUGACGGGGGCCCGCACAAGCGGAGGAACAUGUGGUUUAAUUCGAUGAUACGCGAGGAACCUUACCCGGGCUCGAACGGCGCGCGAAGCGGGCGGAGACGCCCUCGCCCCUCGGGGCGCGCGCCGAGGUGCUGCAUGGUUGUCGUCAGCUCGUGCCGUGAGGUGUCGGCUCAAGUGCCAUAACGAGCGCAACCCCUGCCGCCAGUUGCCAACAGGCAAAGCUGGGGACUCUGGCGGGACUGCCACCGCAAGGUGCGAGGAGGGGGGGGAUGACGUCAAAUCAGCACGGCCCUUACGUCCGGGGCGACACACGUGUUACAAUGGCGGCCACAGAGGGAAGCCACCCCGCGAGGGGGCGCGGAUCCGAAAAAGCCGCCUCAGUUCGGACUGGAGUCUGCAACCCGACUCCACGAAGCUGGAUUCGCUAGUAAUCGCGCAUCAGCCAUGGCGCGGUGAAUACGUUCCCGGGCCUUGUACACACCG